rnacentral:rRNA from 1 species
AUUGAACGCUGGCGGCAGGCCUAACACAUGCAAGUCGAGCGAGCGGCGGACGGGUGAGUAAUGUCUGGGAAACUGCCUGAUGGAGGGGGAUAACUACUGGAAACGGUAGCUAAUACCGCAUACCAUCAGAUGUGCCCAGAUGGGCUUAGCUAGUAGGUGGGGUAAUGGCUCACCUAGGCGACGAUCCCUAGCUGGUCUGAGAUGAUGACCAGCCAACCUGGAACGGAGACACGGUCCAGACUCCUACGGGAGGCAGCAGUGGGGAAUAUUGCACAAUGGGCGCAAGCCUGAUGCAGCCAUGCCGCGUGUAUGAAGAAGGCCUUCGGGUUGUAAAGUACUUUCAGCGAGGAGGCGUUACUCGCAGAAGAAGCACCGGCUAACGCCGUGCCAGCCGCCGCGGUAAUUC